UUGUUGCGGUUAAAAAGCUCGUAGUUGGAUUUUGGGCGCAGGCGGCCGGUCCGUCGCAAGGCGUGUACUGGCCGUCCUGGCCUCACCUCCGGUUCUCCGCCGGUGCCCUUGACUGAGUGUCGGCGGCGGCCGGAACGUUUACUUUGAAAAAAUUAGAGUGUUCAAAGCAGGCGAUUCGCCUGAAUAAUGGUGCAUGGAAUAAUGGAAUAGGACCUCGGUUCUAUUUUGUUGGUUUUCGGAGCGCGAGGUAAUGAUUAAGAGGGACAGACGGGGGCAUUCGUACUGUGCCGUUAGAGGUGAAAUUCUUGGAUCGGCGCAAGACGAACGACUGCGAAAGCAUUUGCCAAGAAUGUUUUCUUUAAUCAAGAGCGAAAGUCAGAGGUUCGAAGACGAUCAGAUACCGUCCUAGUUCUGACUAUAAACGAUGCCAACUAGCGAUCGGGGGGCGUUAGUUUUACGACCUCUCCGGCAGCUUGCGGGAAACCAAAGUCUUUGGGUUCCGGGGGAAGUAUGGUUGCAAAGCUGAAACUUAAAGGAAUUGACGGAAGGGCACCACCAGGAGUGGAGCCUGCGGCUUAAUUUGACUCAACACGGGAAAUCUCACCCGGCCCGGACACAGUGAGGAUUGACAGAUUGAGAGCUCUUUCUUGAUUCUGUGGGUGGUGGUGCAUGGCCGUUCUUAGUUGGUGGAGCGAUUUGUCUGGUUAAUUCCGAUAACGAACGAGACUCUGGCUUGCUAACUAGUUACGCGACCCAAUCGGUCGGCGUCUAACUUCUUAGAGGGACUAGUGGCGUUUAGCCACACGAGAUUGAGCAAUAACAGGUCUGUGAUGCCCUUAGAUGUUCGGGGCCGCACGCGCGCUACACUGACCGGAUCAGCAUGUGCUCGCCUUGGCCGACAGGUCUGGGUAACCCGCUGAACCCCGGUCGUGCUAGGGAUAGGGAAUUGCAAUUAUUUCCCUUGAACGAGGAAUUCCCAGUAAGCGC
rnacentral:rRNA from 1 species